rnacentral:lncRNA from 1 species
GAAGUUGGCUGCGAGCAUACAGUUCACUGUCGGGGGAAGAGGGGUAUUUAUAACAGACACUUCACUGGCGGUUGUCUUUAAAAACCGCCAGUGAAAAUUGAUUUCCACUGGCGGUUAUCUUUAAAAACCGCCAGUGGAAAUAGGAUGUUUCCACUGGCGGUUAAGUUAAGAUAACCGCCAGUGGAAAUCAAUUUUCACUGGCGGUUUGUGUUACACAACCGCCAGUGGAAACAUCCUAUUUCCACUGGCGGUUGUGUUAAGAUAACCGCCAGUGGAAAUAGGUUUCCACUGGCGGUUUUUAAAGCCGGGCCCACCUGUUUCUUUUACUGGCGUUUGAUAACGGAAACCGCCAGUGAAAAGUUCAACGUGCCGCAUGCUUUGAACUUAUUUGUACUAGUGAUAAUUUUCUAGUGUCCAUAAAUUGACCCGCAAUACGUUUUACGUUGUUCACACUUCACUUCCUCUUAGGAUAUUCCCCCACCAUAAUAAGCAUGAAUUCAUCAAGUUCCUCAUCUAGCCCGUCAUCUUCCACUUGAAUCAUACGUCUUAUAGUUCUGCUCAUCCUCCUAAAAGCCCAAGAAAACUUUAUUGGAUGCAAUAUUGUUCUCAUCUCAGGUUUAUGCAUGACAGUAUAUCAUCGAACAUGUAAAAACUGGUUAGAUUAAUCCUAGCAUGUGGACAUAACCAUAGUUUUGAUGAAACUUGUUUUGGAAUAAAAAAUUAGUAUUUGACUGUACCUCUUUUACAACAAAAAAGAAGUAGAUCAGUAGCAGGCAGUUGUGAUAUGUAUCGCUGCUCUGCUGCUUGAAGCCUCAUCAUGUGAUUGGGCGCAAUGCAGGGUAAGGACGCAAGAAGGCUACGACUUUUGCAGGCGAUGCCGGCGCACAUUGGAUGCAGAGUUGUAGUACUGAAUAUCCGUCGUGUCGCACGAGACCACCGUUGAGCGCGAGCAGCAGCUCGUGGCAAAGCUGCGCAGGUCCUCGUCGCUGCACAUGCGGAGGGCGCCAUACAGGAAUGGGAGGCCGAGCGAGUCGGGCAACUCCAAGAGCCGCCGCGUGG